GACGAACGCUGGCGGCGCGCCUAACACAUGCAAGUCGAACGGGGUUAUAGGAACAGCUUGCUGGGAAUAUAACUUAGUGGCGGACGGGUGAGUAACACGUGAGCAACCUGCCUUUCAGAGGGGAAUAACGUUUGGAAACGAACGCUAAUACCGCAUAACAUUGGGAUAUGGCAUCAUGACCCAAUCAAAGAUUUAUCGCUGAAAGAUGGGCUCGCGCCCGAUUAGGUAGUUGGUGAGAUAAUAGCCCACCAAGCCGACGAUCGGUAGCCGGACUGAGAGGUUGAACGGCCACAUUGGGACUGAGACACGGCCCAG
rnacentral:rRNA from 1 species